CCAACGCUAGCUUAGCCACCCAAUAAAUAAACAAUAUAAAUAAAACAAAAUAAGCCCAACACCAAAACUUAAAUCAUUCUUUUACCUUAGUAUGGGAGACAGAAAAGGUUCCACAAAGCAAUAGAAAUAGUACCGCAAGGGAAAGCUGAAAGAGAAAUGAAACAACCCAUAUAAGCAUUAAAAAGCAAAGACUUAACCUUGUACCUUUUGCAUCAUGAUUUAGCCAGUACACCCAAGCAAAGAGACCUUUAGUUUGAAACCCCGAAACCAGGUGAGCUACCCCGAGACAGCCUAUUAUAGGGCUAACCCGUCUCUGUGGCAAAAGAGUGGGAAGAGCUCCGGGUAGAAGUGAUAGACCUACCGAACCUGGUGAUAGCUGGUUGCCUAAGAAAUGGAUAGAAGUUCAGCCUCGUUACACCUCAAAUCAAACAAAUGUAAACAAGACACUAAGAGAAAUACACGAGAGUUAGUUAAAGGGGGUACAGCCCCUUUAACAAAGGACACAACCUUCUCAGGAGGAUAAAGAUCACAAUACACAAAACAUACUGCUCUAGUGGGCCUAAAAGCAGCCAUCUAAACAGAAAGCGUUAAAGCUCAGACAGACAAAAGUUUAUUAUUCUGAUAAAAAAUCUUACUCCCCUAAACACUAUUAGGCCAGCCCAUGCCCCCAUGGAAGAGAUUAUGCUAAAAUGAGUAACAAGAAGGCCCGCCCUUCUCCAAGCACAAGUGUAAGCCAAACCGGACCAACCAUUGGCAACUAACGAACUCAAUCCAAGAGAGCAAUGUGAGUUACAAAAAAAUCAAGAAAAGCCCACAAUUAAGCCAUCGUUACCCCCACACUGGAGUGCAUCUAAAGGAAAGACUAAAAGAAAAGGAAGGAACUCGGCAAACACAAGCCUCGCCUGUUUACCAAAAACAUCGCCUCCUGCAACACAACCAAGUAUAGGAGGUCCAGCCUGCCCAGUGACUACAAGUUUAACGGCCGCGGUAUUUUGACCGUGCAAAGGUAGCGCAAUCACUUGUCUUUUAAAUAGAGACCUGUAUGAAUGGCUAAACGAGGGCUUAACUGUCUCCCCUUUCUAGUCAGUGAAAUUGAUCUACCCGUGCAGAAGCGGG
rnacentral:rRNA from 1 species